UCUGCUUGCAUGCCCUCGCUGAAGGAUGAGUCCGCGUACCAUUAGCUUGUUGGUAGGGUAAUGGCCUACCAAGGCGACGAUGGUUAGCUGGUCUGAGAGGAUGAUCAGCCACACUGGAACUGAGACACGGUCCAGACUCCUACGGGAGGCAGCAGUGAGGAAUCUUGCGCAAUGGGGGAAACCCUGACGCAGCAACGCCGCGUGAGUGAGGAAGGCCUUCGGGUCGUAAAGCUCUGUCAGUUGGCAAGAAAUGCCUGAGAAUCAAUACCUUACAGGCUUGACGGUACCAACAGAGGAAGCAACGGCUAACUCCGUGCCAGCAGCCGCGGUAAUACGGGGGGUGCAAG
rnacentral:rRNA from 1 species